AGGACCUGCGGGCCAGAGAGAAAGACAGACGUGCAGCCCGUGACGGUUUGAGCCUUAGCACAGAAAAGAACAAGAUAUAGUGAGCCAGGUGUUCAGCUGCGGGAGGAGGCGAAACAUCUGAAUACAAGUAGGAUCCAGCACUCGGGAGGCCGAGGCAGGAGGAUGGCUGCGAGCUCAAGGCCAGCCUGGGCUGCGCGGGGAGCUCCUGUCUCAACAAUACUGGCAACAGCAAUAGCAAAACAAAAACAGAAGGCAAGCAGACAUGGGAACAAGGCUUCGUGAAAAUCACUGGAAGCAACAACACACAGCAGAAAUGGAACUGCGGGUCUUGCUAUGCAGUUCAGGCCAGCCUUGAACUCACUUUGUAGCCCAGGCUGACCUUAAUCUUGCAGUGAUCCUCCUGCCUCAGCCUCUUGAGUACUGGGAUUACAGGUUGCGCAGGGAAGCAAGAGGCACUCGGAGAAGGAAACCCUUGGGUGAGCUGCGUCCUCUGCCCUCCCCUGCCCACAUCGAAACAGGCUCUCAGGACAUCGUGCCAAGCCACAUCCAUACAAAGCCUUUUGGGGUCAGACCGUGCCCGGCAGCCGGGUGUCAGUAACGGGCCACACACGGCACCAGACUGUUUGCAAAGCGGCUUGCAAAGCUGUCACUGAACACAGCAGUGCUGUCACUGAACGCUGCUAGGAUCACGCUAUGGCGCAUUCUCACCUCCUCACCUCCCCGCUCCUCCCUGGAGCCCAUCCAGAUCCUCACAGAGGCUUCAGAGCCCUAGGGUGGCUUCUGCAACCACAGCUGACAUCAGCUUCCCACCCCAGCACCAGGAGUGGGCCAGCAAGCUCUCUUCCCUGUCUGUCUGCUCCAGGAUGUAUAUCAGUGAUUUAUGUCCAGUUACCCUACUGUGGCCAGCCACCUUGACAAGAAAGAAAGUGGCUUAGAAAGCCUACCCUGGAGCUCUCGUCUCUUCUUCCCCUUUAACAGGCAAGGAGCAGCUGAUCUCCACUUCACAGGAAGAGUGUUUCCACAUACACAUUGGCUAGAACAAAGUUGAUACUUCCCAGCCUCCCUUGCCACUGAGUUUGGCCAUGUGACGAAUUUCCCAGCCUCCCUUGCAGCCAAGUUUGCUCAGGUGACCAAUUUCCAAGACUGGAUUGAAAGGAACAGAAAUGAAGGCAGGCAUUGGGUAUUGAGGUCACAUCCUCCUAUGUGCCCAUUCCAGUAAUUGCAGUGUGGAUGUGGGGGAAUCAUCUCUGUCCUACAGGACAAUUUUGGACCAUUCCAUUCCUGGAUGACAGAGCAGCAGAGGAAGGAAGGCUUCACAGGACAGAGGUUCCACACCAGCAUAAGCUUCCACAGGCAGGAAACUUUUUUCUAAAAAACAUGUCUUGCAAUGUAGUUCAGGCUAGGUUUGAACUUACUAUGUAGUCCAGGAUGGCUUUAAAUAUAUUGUGUGUGUUCAGGCUGGCCUUGAAUUUGUGGCAAUCUUCCUGCUUCAGCCUCCCAGUACUGGGAUUACAGGUGUCUGCUGCCAAUGCCAGGCUGUAGGAGACCAUGGCACCACUGUUUUUACACACCCACUUCCACCACACAUAUUUCAUUCCAGUCUUCUCUUUAUGAGCGGGCUGAAGUCUUUCUGACCUCGAGCUUGCCUUGACAGCUCUUGGCUGACUUUGGCAGAAAGGGGCAUCUCUCACAGGCUGUGGGUCGGUGUCAGCUGUCUAUUGCCAUGGCGUCACCACAUAAACAAUCAGGAGACCUAAACGCACAGCAGGGCUGUUGUUCCUGGCCAGUGGGCUCUGCCUUGAUGGGGCGGCCUGAACUGAGCUGGGCUGAUGUCAGCGGGGUCCCCUGAGUGGCAGGGGUUGUGCUGGGUGGCUCACCUCUAGGCCGAGCAGGCUGUUGGUGGAUCCUGUUGGCCUCCACUGGGAUAGUUCAGGCCAACUUGGCUGGGUCCCCUGCUCUCAGUGUCCAGCAGACCAGCCUGGACUUGUCUUCCCAGCAGAGUGAGCCCCGCCCCACAAGCGCCUCUCGCCUCUCGGGCCUCUGCUUGCGUAAUGUUUACUAAAAUCCCAUUGACUUCGAGGGUGAACCUGGAGUCAGAAAGGAGAAUCCGAGGAGGACAGCCCUGAGGGACGCGCCCAAGCCACUGGGAAGGGACUGGAGCCGGCAGCUGGCAUUGAGGCUGCAGUACCGGGCUCUGCUUUCCAGGGUCUGGGGUGGGACAUUGUCCUGACACAGGAGACCCAAACAGGAAUGACGCUGAGUCAGGGGGCAGCAGAGACGCUGUGGCUUCUGGAAUGCGGACUCCUCGCUCGCUCGCUCUCUCUGCUGACUGUCACUUCAGACAUCGCUGCCGCCGCCACGGGCUCCCAGCCGUGGGCUCUGCUGUCCUGGCUCAGGCUUCUGGCUUCCGGCUGCGGGCAGGUGGUCUGGGUCCAGGUUUGGAUUUGGGUUUUUAUCUGCUCCAGGGGGCUCCUAUCCUUCCAGCUCCCCAGGGCAAUGAAAACACCCGAGGUCUCUUAGAGCACUGUCUUUCUUUUUUUUUUUUUUUGUCUUUUUUUCCUUUUUAUCGGUACCGGGGAUCGAACUCACGACUGCCUGCUUGCAAGGCAGGCACUUACGCCGCUGAGCUAAAUCCCCAGCCCCUGAGCACUGUCGAUUUUGCUCAAGUCCACUGGCCAGAGGAAGUCCCACAGGGACAGGGACCCUUGUGCCCGCACGCACUUGGAGGUCUCUUGACAACUGCGAACACCAUGAGUCUCAUUCACUUGGCCUCUGGACCCUGGCCCUGCUGUGCCAUGAGUACCUACAGCAACCCCAGAACUGGCAAAAUGGACAGGCACUGUGCAGAAGGGGAGGACGGGCGUGGGGAUCACGUGGUCCAUCCUGGGUCACGGUCAGGCGUGUGGAAUUCGUUCACUGUGCAGGGGGUCUGCUGAUGAUCAGAUGGUCUUUCGGGAGGCACAGCUAGCUUGGCAUGCUCCUGCUACGCUGUCAACGAGUGUCCCGUCACCUGGAGGGGGACACAGCCUUGCCUGGCACUGGAGGUCCCUAGUGACAGCCCUGCCACAGCAUCACCUGUCACCAUGCCUGGCUUGGCACACUUUGGUUUUCCCACGUAGUUCAGGGUUGAUUCCAGCUUGGAUUCUCCUGCAAGCUGACUCUUCCAGAGACUUGAGUGGAUAUAAUAUUCCUUCCUCUUUUUCUUAGUGUUACUUGUUCUUUCUUUCUUUCUUUUCUUUCUUUCUUUCUUCCUUCCUUCCUUCCUUUCCUCCCUUCCUUUCUUCCUUUCCUUUCUUCCUUUCCUUUCCUCCCUUCCUUCCUUCCUUCCUUCUUUCUUUUCUUUCUUUUUUGGUACUGGGAAUUGAACUUAGGACCUUGCAUGUGCCAGGCAAGCACUUGUGCCCUGAGCUACAUUCCCGGCUUGCUAUUUGUUCUUUAAUGUUGUUAUGGUUUGAUAACUAGUGGUCAACUUAAUGCCAGCUGGAUUACAUCAGCAUGCAUUGAGAGAAGAUGCUCCACCUGAGGAGGGUUGCCAGGAUAAAUAGGUGGAGAAGAAGAGCGGUUUGGAGAGGGAUUGAGGCGUUAAGGAGAUAUUGUGGGUUCUCCUAUGAGUUGCUGUCUGAGCUGUUGGUUCUCCUGGAGAAGCUUUGGUCUUCACAUUGAGCAUUGCUUCCUGGCUCCGGAGGGGAAGACAUGUGCUGCCUGAUUUCCAGGAUGAACUCGUCACGCUGCUUCCUGGCACGUACCCGACUGUGCUUGUCGUCGGAGGAGCUCGGGGCCUCCGUGUCGCUGAGGACAGCUGUGGUUCCAUUCAGGACAGCCCUGCUCUUUGUUGUGAGUGUGACUUCUCGGCUCCAGUGUAGAACCCUCAACCCACCAGCACAGCUCCUUCACCACGCUGACCCUUGGGUCUUCCCGGCACGAAUCCGUAAAAGAGACUGGCGUGAGUCCUUGUGGGCCCUGGACUUCCAGUUGGACUCGUGGAGGCGUUGUCCUGAGCUCUGGGUUUUUAUCUGGACUCAUGUGGGACAUUGCCGUGGGGUUUAGCCUCUUGACUUAUAUAAUGUAUGUCGUUGGUGUUGCGGAUAGAUUUCCUGCAUUCUUCUGUAUUAACUUCCGGUGACCAUUAUAAAUAUAUUAUAAACUCCA